rnacentral:rRNA from 1 species
AUUGAACGCUGGCGGCAGGCCUAACACAUGCAAGUCGAGCGGGGUUUUCGGACCUAGCGGCGGACGGGUGAGUAAUGCGUAGGAAGCUACCCGAUAGAGGGGGAUACCAGUUGGAAACGACUGUUAAUACCGCAUAAUGUCUACGGACCAAAGUGUGGGACCUUCGGGCCACAUGCUAUCGGAUGCGCCUACGUGGGAUUAGCUAGUUGGUGAGGUAAUGGCUCACCAAGGCGACGAUCCCUAGCUGGUUUGAGAGGAUGAUCAGCCACACUGGAACUGGGACACGGUCCAGACUCCUACGGGAGGCAGCAGUGGGGAAUAUUGGACAAUGGGCGCGAGCCUGAUCCAGCCAUGCCGCGUGUGUGAAGAAGGCCUUCGGGUUGUAAAGCACUUUCAGCGAGGAGGAAGGGGUGAGUGUUAAUAGUACUCAUCUUUGACGUUACUCGCAGAAGAAGCACCGGCUAACUCUGUGCCAGCCGCCGCGGUAAAAC